rnacentral:miRNA from 2 species
CACUAGAUUAUGAGCUCCUGGA